rnacentral:pre_miRNA from 1 species
UCUUAUGGAUAAGAAAGUGGUUUCUUGAGAUAGAAUCUACUCUUGGUGAAGAUGCUGUGAA